GCUUCAGUCGUUGGCUGUAGUUGAUGAAAAUUAUUCGUUCAAUAUGACACACAAAUUCAUGUUCAGAAAUAAUUAAAGAUCCAGACAAUUCUGUAACACGCGUACAGGGUUUGGAGACAAUGUAAAUCUCUUAUGGACUGCGUACAUGGACGUCACGUAUGCAUUUUAAAAAUAGGUACGCGCAGAGUGCAGAAUACAGGCCUGAAUAUAAUGUUUGAUAUUCUUGCAACUACAGCAAAGUUUACUGAGGAACACAACCAUAAACAUCAAACUUGAAUAGUCUUAGAGAUUAAAGAAAGAAGACAAAAGCGAAAAAAGAGAGAAAAGUAAAGCUUUAAAGCUUUGAUUUGUCGACGGUAUUUUAAUGUAGCCAGCUGCAAAUGGACGAACAUCCGCUAAAUACUUGUUAUUCUUUACAAAUUGUAUUUUGUGCCAAGACUUAUUGUCUGAUAUAGGGUUCUCGUUUCACGAAUGAUUACAUAUUGAUAACAUCAAA